rnacentral:rRNA from 1 species
UACAGAGGUCUCAAGCGUUGUUCGGAUUCAUUGGGCGUAAAGGGUGCGUAGGCGGCGCGGUAAGUCGGGUGUGAAAUCUUGGAGCUUAACUCCGAAACUGCAUUCGAUACUGCCGUGCUUGAGGACUGGAGAGGAGACUGGAAUUUACGGUGUAGCGGUGAAAUGCGUAGAUAAUCGUAAGGAAGACCAGUGGCGAAGGCGGGUCUCUGGACAGUUCCUGACGUGAGGCACGAAGGUCAGGGGAGCAAACGGG